UUUACAAUUCUUGAGGGAGAUAUUGUGACCAAAUUUCAAAGUUGUAAACUAUUUGAGAGUAAUACUUGUGGUCAAAAUUCAUGAAGUAAAAAUAUCAAUAUAAGCAUUUUCACAAAAGCAUGCUGGCAGAACUGUAUUUUUAUAGAGAUGAAAAAAAUUGGAUAGAUCUGCUCUAUCCAUAUUCAUAUUGCCAUAAAUCAUGUGGAUGUGCACAUACACAAAUCAUAUACUGACAAAAGUUUAACUUCGAUCAGUGCAAUUUCCUCUAAACUUUGCCUAGUAUAAAAUGUUACAAAGAUCAAGCUCAUAUUUUCUGCAUCUUCCCAUAGGUGAAACAUGUAUCAUAUUUGGAUCACAUUAUCUAGAUUACAGUAUUAUGAGGUACGUCAUAAAUUUCUCCAAAACGUUAAUUAACGAGUGAGUACAUUGCAAAUUCUGGAAGAAGAAAAAAGAAGAUAGGAGAUAUGUACGGAAUUUCUAUGGAUAAUUCUGGAACUUCCCUAAAGUUCCAGUUUGUUGAACUGGUGCUGGAUCCCAUCCAACCCUAACGCUGUGAGAAGUUGACACAUGCGACAUGCAGUAGGUGAAGGUCGUUUAAUCUAAA